GCUGGGCACAGUGGCAUGUGCCUAUAGUCCCAGCUAUUCGGGAGGCUGAGGCUGGAGGAUCGCUUGAGUCCAAGAGUUCUGGGCUGUAGUGCACUAUGCCAAUCGGGUGUCCGCACUAAGUUUGGCAUCAAUAUGGUGAACUCUCGGGAGCAGGGGACCACCAGGUUGCCUAAGGAGGGGUGAACCAGCCCAGGUCGGAAACGGAGCAGGCCAAAAGUCCCCUGCUGAUUAGUAGUGGGAUUGCACCUGUGAAUAGCCGCUGCACUCCAGCCUGGGCAACAUAGCGAGACCUCGUCUCA
rnacentral:SRP_RNA from 1 species